ACUCCUACGGGAGGGCAGCAGUGGGAAUAUUGCACGAAUGGGCGCAAGCCUGAUGCAGCCAUGCCGCGUGAUGUGCAAGAAGGGCCUUUCGGGUUGAUAAGCACUUUCAGUCGUGAGGAAGGUGGUGUUGUUAAUAGCAGCAUCAUUUGACGUUAGCGACAGAAGAAGCACCGGCUAACUCCGUGCCAGCAGCCGCGGUAAUACGGAGGGUGCGAGCGUUAAUCGGAAUUACUGGGCGUAAAGCGCAUGCAGGUGGUUUGUUAAGUCAGAUGUGAAAGCCCGGGGCUCAACCUCGGAAUUGCAUUUGAAACUGGCAGACUAGAGUACUGUAGAGGGGGGUAGAAUUUCAGGUGUAGCGGUGAAAUGCGUAGAGAUCUGAAGGAAUACCGGUGGCGAAGGCGGCCCCCUGGACAGAUACUGACACUCAGAUGCGAAAGCGU
rnacentral:rRNA from 1 species